rnacentral:rRNA from 1 species
UACAGAGGUGGCAAGCGUUGUUCGGAAUUACUGGGCGUAAAGGGCGCGUAGGCGGCCUACUAAGUCAUACGUGAAAUCCCUCAGCUUAACUGGGGAACUGCGUGUGAUACUGGAUGGCUUGGAUUUGGGAGAGGGAUGCGGAAUUCCAGGUGUAGCGGUGAAAUGCGUAGAUAUCUGGAGGAACACCGGUGGCGAAGGCGGCAUCCUGGACCAAUAUUGACGCUGAGGAGCGAAAGCCAGGGAGCAAACGGG